UAAACUGAGGCCCCGCUGGGCAGGCACAGGCCAGGGUCAGCCACGGGUCCUGGCCCCUCUGAAACACAGGCCCAGGUGGCCAGAGGGCCCAGUCUGCGGCCCUGAUGGUGGGGGGGCAGCGGGAGCAGGACUGCCCACCCACGGGGCUGUGACCUCUCUGCUCUGAAAACAGGGUCUUCCCAGGCAAUGCCUGCGAGCUCGCCUGCUGGACCCUCAGUCCCAUCAAAGACAACGAGGACUUGCCCUCCUGGGAGGCAGCCAAGGGACAAGGAACAAAAGCAUGUGCACACACGUGGUUGAGUGCACGCGUGAACAUGAGUCCUGUGUGUGGAUGUGUGCACACGUAUGUGAUGGUGUUGGUGUGUGUUGUGUGUGCAUGCAUUCGUGUUCGUAUGUGUGCGCAUGUGCCCAGCGGAGCAGGGAUUCUCGAGAGGGUCCCGAGGCCACUGCCCCCCUCCCAGUGGGCUGGGGGUCGGCCCCCAUCCGGGAGCAGCCGCGUGGAGGUGAGCAAAGCUGGGGCAGCAGGCCUGCCUCACCUGACGUUAGAAUCCCCUGAGCGGGUCCGAGUCUGCUGGGCCCUGUGCGUCCGGAAGGGUUGCCCUCCCCUGACCGGGGCCCACUCCACCUCUCCCUUCCCAUCCCCAUCUAGAACGCAGCAUCUGGCUCCAGGCCCGGAGCCAGACGGGCGGCCCUGCAAGAGAACAGAGGAGGAGCAGCAGCAGGACGGCCAUCUGCUCUGUCCUCCCGCCAGCCCUCCGAUGGCGCCGACCCACCCCCUCUCAGCCGCGCUGGCCAGGCCAGGGGUCCGUGGAGAGGACCCUCUGGGGCUGAUGGGGCCUUGCCCUGCACCCAGAGCCCUUGAGGAGCCCUCGGGCCCGCUCUUCCCUUCUUACCUGAACAAACAUUCCCACAGUGCCCACAGGGAGCCAGGCGCCCCGUCAGCCCUGGAGCGUGGCUGUGUCCAGAAUCAGAGGAAGAGGGACAGGGUCUCCUGGACGGUGGCCCAGGGCUCCCACUCGUGGCCAGGGGACCAGCAGGGACAUGUCUUCUCUUGGGGCUUCGCUGGCUUCCCUCUUGGGCGUCACUGUCUGGGGUCUGUCCUGGCAUCGCUCUCCCCCAGGUCCGAGCGCCAACCCCUGACCCCAAGCCCCAGCCCGAGCCUCUUGUCGGACUCCAGGUCCCUGCAUCCCAUGGCCUGCACCGCCUUCCCCGUGGGUGGUGGCCACCCCCAACCCUUACCCCGCAGCCUCCCUCUGCAGCAGGUGGCCGGCCCGAGUUGUGUCCAGCCCUCUGUCUACCUCACGUCUAUCUUGGACCCCUUCUCUCUGCUCUCACCUUCCACCUGGUCUGAGCGGCUGCCUCUCCCAGGGUCACGGCUGAGGUUGCUCCCACUCCCUCCUUCCCACCCCUCCACCCCAGGGAGCAGGCACCAUGUCCCCUCGGGGGGCUUCCACUUUUCAUCCCCAGAAAGCAAAAGAAAGCAAGAAAUACCCGUGACAGAGGCUGUUAGUCGAAGCCCAUGUCUAGGAGGAAGCCCUGCUCACACUCAUACACGCACGCCCCGCGGGUGACCGCUCAGCCCCGCGGGCUGGCCCCCCGGCAGGCCCCAGUUCCAGGUUGUCAUCUGUGCUUCUGACCGACCUGCAAUAACACUGGGGUCCCCUGACCCCUUCUUUGAGCUCAAGAAUCGGCUCGAGAGAGUUCCCUGGUGACCUAGUGCUGAGGAUUCAGCCCUGUCACCACUGCGGCCUAAAUUCAAUCCCUGGUCUGGGAACUGAAAUCCCACAUCCAGCUGCUAUGUGCUGCAACCAAAAAAAAAAAAACAAAACCAAAAACAAACCAAAACCCAAAUGGACAGAGAAAAGAAUAUGCUAGAGGGGUUUCUGUUGUGGUGCAGCAGUAAUGAACCUGACUAGUAUCCACGAAGAUGCAGGUUUGACCUCUGGCCUCGGUCAGUGGGUUUGUAGGAGAAAAUGUCCCCAUAAAAAGGUGGAAAGGAGAGACCCAGGCCAUGACGACUAAGCAAAGUCUAGCCAACUGCCCCAACCACCCCCACCCCCCACAUCUGCUUCUGCAAACUUGUUUCUGCAUCUAUUACUUUGCCAGUUCUCACUCUGGUCCUCCAAGCACGGACCUGGAAGAACGAGCCCAUAAAAGCCUUGCGAAACCCCUCUUCGGGGCUCUCCUCUGAGCCCGCCGGCGUAAUAAACCUGAGUUCUCCAACUCUCCGAGUGCUCGC
rnacentral:lncRNA from 1 species